rnacentral:rRNA from 1 species
CUUAGAAGCAGCCAUCCUUUAAAGAAAGCGUAAUAGCUCACUGGUCUAGUGAUUUUGCGCGGAAAAUAUAACGGGGCUAAAGUAAGUACCGAAGCUGUAGACUUGCGCACAACUUAGAUUAUUUAAGUUUAGAAUAUGAGAAACUAAGUUAUAUGUUUAGUUAUAUUUUUACUGAUUUUUAUAGAGUAAAGAUAGAAAUAAAACUUAGUAAAAUCAGUAAAAAUAUUCUUAGACUAAAGUUAAGUAGUUUAAGUUGUGUGCAAGUGGUAGGAGAGCGUUCUAUUUGCGUCGAAGGUAUACCGGUAAGGAGUGCUGGAGCGAAUAGAAGUGAGCAUGCAGGCAUGAGUAGCGAUAAUUAAUGUGAGAAUCAUUAACGCCGUAAACCCAAGGUUUCCUACGCGAUGCUCGUCAUCGUAGGGUUAGUCGGGUCCUAAGUCGAGUCCGAAAGGGGUAGACGAUGGCAAAUUGGUUAAUAUUCCAAUACCAACAUUAGUGUGCGAUGGAAGGACGCUUAGGGCUAAGGGGGCUAGCGGAUGGAAGUGCUAGUCUAAGGUCAUAGGAGGUUAUACAGGCAAAUCCGUAUAACAAUACUCCGAGAACUGAAAGGCUUUUUGAAGUCUUCGGAUGGAUAGAAGAACCCCUGAUGCCGUCGAGCCAAGAAAAGUUUCUAAGUUUAGCUAAUGUUGCCCGUACCGUAAACCGACACAGGUGGGUGGGAUGAGUAUUCUAAGGCGCGUGGAAGAACUCUCUUUAAGGAACUCUGCAAAAUAGCACCGUAUCUUCGGUAUAAGGUGUGGUUCGCUUCGUAUUAGGAUUUACUCCGAAAGCGAAGAAACUUACAACAAAGAGUCCCUCCCGACUGUUUACCAAAAACACAGCACUCUGCUAACUCGUAAGAGGAUGUAUAGGGUGUGACGCCUGCCCGGUGCUCGAAGGUUAAUUGAUGGGGUUAGCAUUAGCGAAGCUCUUGAUCGAAGCCCGAGUAAACGGCGGCCGUAACUAUAACGGUCCUAAGGUAGCGAAAUUCCUUGUCGGUUAAAUACCGACCUGCAUGAAUGGCGUAACGAGAUGGGAGCUGUCUCAAAGAGGGAUCCAGUGAAAUUGUAGUGGAGGUGAAAAUUCCUCCUACCCGCGGCAAGACGGAAAGACCCCGUGGACCUUUACUACAGCUUGACACUGCUAUUUGGAUAAGAAUGUGCAGGAUAGGUGGGAGGCUUUGAGUAUAUGACGCCAGUUGUAUAUGAGCCAUUGUUGAGAUACCACUCUUUCUUAUUUGGGUAGCUAACCAGCUUGAGUUAUCCUCAAGUGGGACAAUGUCUGGUGGGUAGUUUGACUGGGGCGGUCGCCUCCCAAAUAAUAACGGAGGCUUACAAAGGUUGGCUCAGAACGGUUGGAAAUCGUUCGUAGAGUAUAAAGGUAUAAGCCAGCUUAACUGCAAGACAUACAAGUCAAGCAGAGACGAAAGUCGGUCUUAGUGAUCCGGUGGUUCUGUGUGGAAGGGCCAUCGCUCAAAGGAUAAAAGGUACCCCGGGGAUAACAGGCUGAUCUCCCCCAAGAGCUCACAUCGACGGGGAGGUUUGGCACCUCGAUGUCGGCUCAUCGCAUCCUGGGGCUGGAGCAGGUCCCAAGGGUAUGGCUGUUCGCCAUUUAAAGCGGUACGCGAGCUGGGUUCAGAACGUCGUGAGACAGUUCGGUCCCUAUCUGCCGUGGGCGUAAGAAGAUUGAAGAGAUUUGACCCUAGUACGAGAGGACCGGGUUGAACAAACCACUGGUGUAGCUGUUGUUCUGCCAAGAGCAUCGCAGCGUAGCUAAGUUUGGAAAGGAUAAACGCUGAAAGCAUCUAAGCGUGAAGCCAACUCUAAGAUGAAUCUUCUCUAAGCUCUCUAGAAGACUACUAGUUUGAUAGGCUGGGUGUGUAAUGGAUGAAAGUCCUUUAGCUGACCAGUACUAAUAGAGCGUUUGGCUUAUCUUUAAUAAAGCAU